rnacentral:rRNA from 1 species
GACGGAGGAUGCAAGCGUUAUCCGGAAUGAUUGGGCGUAAAGCGUCCGCAGGUGGCCGUUCAAGUCUGCUGUCAAAGACCGGGGCUUAACUUCGGAAAGGCAGUGGAAACUGAACAGCUAGAGUAUGGUAGGGGCAGAGGGAGUUCCUGGUGUAGCGGUGAAAUGCGUAGAGAUCAGGAAGAACAUCGGUGGCGAAGGCGCUCUGCUGGACCAUAACUGACACUCAGGGACGAAAGCUAGGGGAGCGAAUGGG